rnacentral:lncRNA from 1 species
CCCAUUUUGCAAAACCACUUUUUAAACCUAUGUCGCAUUACAAACCCAUUUUCUUAACCUAUUUUACACAAAAUGAUGGAAAAGAAUUUGAAGAAUUUCCACCCCACAAUGAUCACUUCUCCAUGUCACGAUCGAUAACUCAUAGCUAGUCGAAGUACAUUUCAAGUUUAAUAUUCGACGGUUUGUAUUUCGCUCUAACUUCAAAUCGAGGUAAAUUUCAUUUUUAAUUUUUUUAGAUUUGAAUAUUUUGAAUAAUUUGCAUUUUACUUGUGUUAUGGUUGUUUGCAAUUUGAAGUUAAGAGAAAAAACUCUUAUGUAGGGUUUCGAUUUAAUAAAUGACCAUAUUCAAGUUCCUAAAAAAUUUGAGAUUUUCAAGCACUUUUCAUGUAAUAUUGGGUAAUAAUUUUUAACUUUUUUUAUUUAAGAAAAAUCAAGAUUUGUUCCUUAAUUUUUUUCCCUUUUUUAUUUGGUGUUCCUUUUUUUUUUAUUAUUUAUUUAUUUAUUUAUUUAUUUUACUGGAUUGCUUUAUUUAGAUUUGUAACUAAGAUUACUUAAAUUUUAAUGGGCAUAUGUGCUUUGUUAAUGAAAAAGCGAAACUAUGCAAAAAAUGUACUGCAAUCUUGUUUAGUGAAUUACAUUUAGUUUGUACUUGGAAGCAAGAAUGGAAGAAAUUUUAGUGCACUCUUGUUUAGUGUAGUUGUAUAAUUUUGACAAUUUACUUGGUUUUGAGGUUUUACAGAGAAUUUCUUUCCAAAUAUGUUAUUGUUUUGAGAGUCUUCGUUAUGUUAAAUUCUUGUUGCAUUGUGUUAUGAUAUGAUUUUUGAGAUUGCAUGAAGUUAGUCUCAUUUUUUAAUUUUUGAAUCAACUUAGGUACAUUUAUUUGUAAGCCUGUUCAUUUAUCUGUACAUUUUGAUAUUUUUUUUUUCAGAUUUUUGAUUCAAUCUUGGAUGAAUAAGGAAUUAUGUUUGAUCUGUGAUUGUGUUUUCUGAAAGACUUGAUUAUUCAAUUUGUAAGUACAAUAAUUUAAAUGCAUAUGCUACGAUCUUUUUUUAUCUUUCACUGACAUUAAGUUGUUGAAUCAAUUUAUGAUCGGUUCACGUAUCACUCAGACGAAAUUUUUGAGUUUAAUUUAAAUGUGAGUUGAAUUUGUGAGUUGAUAUGUUUUUAAAUUUGAUGUAAUGUGGUUCAAUUGAGGAUUCAAAUAUCCGAUUCAUGUUAGCAUAUGUAUUAUUCAAGUGUAGUUCUUAUGGAAUCCAUUUGUCGAGAUAAACUGUCAUUCAAGAUACUAAUGAUCUAAAAUUCUCGAUAGUUGGUCAUUGUUUUUCGACAGUUAUGAUACAACAUCAAACUUGUUUUAUGUACUCUUCUACGUGUGUUAUGAAGUAAAUAUAUUAUAUACCAUCAUUUGACAUUUGGUAUUUGUUCAUGUUAUUGAUUUUUGAAUAGAUUGACAAACUAUGAUGCUAUUGGAGAGUGCCUGAAGGGCAUGUCAUCGCCUUCUUCUAGUAAAGGAAGUGCCCUCAAAUGCUACCUAUCUAAUUGAAAAUAAAGAAGUGGCAGUGACAAAGAAGCAGCGCUCAAUGUAAAUUUGAAUAUCAUUUGCUUCGAACUGAAGUCCUUACACUAUAAGUGGUGAAAAGAGAGGAGAAAACUGAAAUGAUUGAAAUUUGUUAAAUGGAAAACAUUGACUUCCCUUUUUGAAUUGUUGAGAAUAGUGGAACUUUGCAGGUUAUGAAGUUCAAGUAUCUAAUCUUUGUACUUUGAUGAUGAAAAACAUUGUAUAACUUAUUUUCGUAUAGGUGUAGUUUAUUUCAUGGUAUGCGAAAUAUAGUUAUUUAAUCAAUUGUGUAGCUUGAUUGUGUAACCGUUACCAUUUAUGUAUUAUAAUCAUGGCUAUCGUAUCU